rnacentral:lncRNA from 1 species
AUAAUAAAAAAUAAAGGUUCGUUCAUUGGCGUCAAUGCUGUUGCUGAAUACUCACUCAUUUAGCAAAGAUACUUUGUGAUGCAAUAAACCGUAUUUUUUGAGAUUAACUAUGUUACGAAUCAAAUUCCGACAACAACCGACAUUUGAAUAGUCAAUGGUUGAAGAGUUUUCUAGGUGUGUUUUUACAUCGAAACUUGAAACUUAAGUUUGGUUUUAUUAUUAAAUAUAACACUUCUGUUGAAAUCAUUUAGGAAUGAAAUCUAAAAUUUAAAAUAGCCAUGACCAUGUCUCCUAUCCAUACAAUAUUAAUAUAGCUUAUUUUUGUUGUCAUCUAAUUCUAAAACCUUCACAGUAGCUCUUUUGUAACAUUUGCAUAUCUUGUUUGAAAAUCGAAAAAGUUGCCAUUAAUCUAAUCCUUCAUUUCAUUCUUUGCAUCGUUUUCGUUCUUGGCUACUUGAUCCAGCAGUAGUAUUGGUGUUGUUUUUAAAUUAAUUAAUUUAAAAAAUUUCAUUUAUGCACUAUCAAAACACUUGUUUUUAAGGGUAUAUUGGUCUUUUCAAACUCAAAAAGUUUUGCAUUUUAUAAUUGUGCGAAUUCAAAAUAAUUUGUCAUAUAGUAGCAUUUUUGCUACUCUAACCCAUUUGGCGCCAAAUUUAAAGACACAUCUACUGUAUAAAAAACAAAAAAAAAAAUUGUGUUGGAAUGUGUGAUUAGGGAUGGUAACGGGCACCGCCUGCAGCGGGUUUGCCAUUAUCAAAUCCAAACCCACACAAAAUUUAAAUUAUCAAACCUACCCGCAACCCUUAGUGGGUUUUAAUUUUUUUAAGAAAACCCACCCACAAUGUAUUUUAAUAAUUACCAAACCCGCAAUGGUAAGUGGAUUUUUUGCGGGUUAUCGCAUUUAAAAUCAUAAAUAUUUAAUAUAUAAAUUUAUAAUAAUAACCUCAAAUUUUAUAUAACAUACUCAAUUUUAUAUUUAACCAAUAUAAAUGAAAAAUUAAAAUUUCAACAUGAAGUCAACACAAAUUUCCAAAUAUAAGUAUAAAUCACACAAAUUUAUUUAAAAAAACACAAACUACUACCUAAAAAUAACAAUUACAUUUCAUAUUAUCAUUUAAAACAAGCUCCAAAAGAAUAUCUCUAUUUCAUUCACCACAAUAAGUACUCAUCCAACACGAUUCCUAAAAUAAUAAUUAAGAGUAAUAUUUUCAAAUACUAAUUCAGAGAAAAAAAAAUUAUAAUAAUGAAAUAAUUCAUGUAUUAAGGUAAAGAAAAAUACUACAUACAAAAUUAUAAUAGGUAUAUAAUAUACACAACUUUAGACCUUUUGCUAUUUGGUAAUUCGAAUUAUUACAUUAUUUUCUUUCUAGAUUUUUUAGAUUUAAAUUAAAUUAAAAAUAUUUAGAAAAAAAUAUUACGGCUCUGGUGGAUAUCCAUGAGAGUAUUCAUCGAAUAUAAGGUUAAUAUCAAACCCACGCACAUCUAUGUGCGAGUUUUAAUUUAUAAUAAUAAACACGCCCACAACAGGUAAAAUUAUCCGCAAUGGAUGAAUUUUAGCAGGCAAAUUUGAAUGAAUUUACGAAUUUACAUGUACAAUUGCCAUCCCUAUAUGCGAUGAAGGGUAACUUUUGGACAUUCACUCAGCUAACGUUUAUCCAUGUCCAAAGGAUAAUAUGUCAAUGGAUAGAUUCUAUCCACGUGUAACGAAACCAAAACUUAGGAGGUAUCGAUUGGGUGUAAUCCCGCACAUGCUCUUAUUAGAGCAGCAGCCUCAGUCUUUUGAUCCCUCCUGUUACAAAAACUCAAAGCCCACAAUAAUGUAUGGCAUCAAUUUUUUGAUCUCCACUCCCCUCACUGGAGUAGCACUCUGAGUCCAAAUUAGCCCUUCAAAAUUAUAAUGCAUAAUUUUAUUCGUUUAAUUA